GACGAACGCUGGCGGCGUGCUUAACACAUGCAAGUCGAACGGAAAGGCCCUGCUUUUGUGGGGUGCUCGAGUGGCGAACGGGUGAGUAAAACGUGAGUAACAUGCCCUUGACUUUGGGGUAACUUCACGAAACUGGGGCUAAUAUCGGAUAGGAGCUCCUGCUCCAUGGGGGGGGUUGGAAAGUUUCGGCGGUUGUAGAUGGAAUCGCGGCUUAUCAGCUUGUUGGUGGGGUAGUGGCUUACCAAGGCUUUGACGGGUAGCCGGCCUGAGAGGGUGACCGGCCACAUGGGGACUGAGAGACGGCCCAGACGCCUACGGGAGGCAGCAGUGGGGAAUAUUGCACAGUGGGCGGAAGCCUGAUGCAGCAACGCCGCGUGCGGGAUGACGGCCUUCGGGUUGUAAACCGCUUUCGCCUGUGACGAAGCGUGAGUGACGGUAAUGGGUAAAGAAGCACCGGCUAACUACGUG
rnacentral:rRNA from 1 species